UAUGGUCACAUCAAGUUUAAACACUGGUUCCCAUAUGAUCACUGAAGUUAAGCAACAUCAAGCCUGGUCAAUACCUAGAUGGGUGACUGCUUGGGAAUACCACAUACUGUAA